rnacentral:tRNA from 1 species
GUCUAAAUAGUUUAUUAAAAAUAUUGAUUUGUGGUGUCAAUGAAAUGAAUUAAUUCAUUUUAGAUC